rnacentral:tmRNA from 1 species
CGGAUGAAAUAAAGGAACUAAGUUCAACAAACAGGUAGCUUCUGCCGGAGGUUGAGUCGAAAACCGAAAGGAAGCUAAGCAUGUAGAAAGCAAAUUAAUUCCUCGUUUGGACGAAGGUUCGAGUCCCUCCAUCUCCACAA